rnacentral:rRNA from 1 species
AUUGAACGCUGGCGGUUGGCCUAACACAUGCAAUUCGAACGACAGCACAGUAAGUUCUUGCUCUUACGUUUGGCGCGUGGCGGACGGUUACGGAUUACAUCCCCACCUACUUUUUCGUGGUAACUUACGUAAAGCAGCUUACACUACUACUGCAUACUUCCUACGGAUGAUUGCAUAGUAUCUUCCGGUCUUGCUCUCUUUAAUAAGCCGAUGUCGGAUUAGCUAGUUGGUAGGGUAACGGCCUACCAAGGCGACGAUCCGUAGCUGGUCUGAGAGGAUGAUCGGCCACACUGGAACUGAGACACGGUCCAGACUCCUACGGGAGGCAGCAGUAGGGAAUAUUGCGCAAUGGGCGAAAGCCUGACGGAGCAACGCCGCGUGAGUGAUGAAGGUCUUCGGAUCGUAAAACUCUGUUAUUAGGGAAGAAAAAAUGUGGAAGUAAAUAUGCACGUCUUGACGGUACCUAAUCAGAAAGCAACGGCUAACUACGUG